rnacentral:rRNA from 1 species
GUGGGGAAUAUUGGGCAAUGGGCGAAAGCCUGACCCAGCAACGCCGCGUGAAGGAAGAAGGUCUUCGGAUCGUAAACUUCUAUCCUUGGUGAAAAUAAUGAUGGUAGCCGAGAAGGAAGCCCCGGCUAACUACGUGCCAGCAGCCGCGGUAAUACGUAGGGGGCAAGCGUUGUCCGGAAUGAUUGGGCGUAAAGGGCGCGUAGGCGGCCUGGUAAGUUCGGGGUGAAAGUCCUGCUUUUAAGGUGGGAAUUGCUUUGAAAACUGCUGGGCUUGAGUGCAGGAGAGGUAAGUGGAAUUCCCGGUGUAGCGGUGAAAUGCGUAGAGAUCGGGAGGAACACCAGUGGCGAAGGCGACUUACUGGACUGUGACUGACGCUGAGGCGCGAAAGUGUGGGGAGCAAACAGGAUUAGAAACCCCUGUAGUCC